rnacentral:rRNA from 1 species
GACGAACGCUGGCGGCGUGCCUAAUACAUGCAAGUAGAACGCUGAAGAGAGGAGCUUACUCUUCUUGGAUGAGUUGCGAACGGGUGAGUAACGCGUAGGUAACCUGCCUUGUAGCGGGGGAUAACUAUUGGAAACGAUAGCUAAUACCGCAUAACAAUGGAUGACACAUGUCAUUUAUUUGAAAGGGGCAAUUGCUCCACUACAAGAUGGACCUGCGUUGUAUUAGCUAGUAGGUGAGGUAAUGGCUCACCUAGGCGACGAUACAUAGCCGACCUGAGAGGGUGAUAGGCCACACUGGGACGGAGACACGGCCCAGACUCCUACGGGAGGCAGCAGGAGGGAAUCUUCGGCAAUGGGGGCAACCCGGACCGAGCAACGCCGCGUGAGUGAAGAAGGUUGUCGGAUCGUAAAGCUCUGUUGUAAGUCAAGAACGGGUGUGAGAGUGGAAAGUUCACACUGUGACGGUAGCUUACCAGAAAGGGACGGCUAACUACGUG